rnacentral:rRNA from 1 species
GUUAGGAAUAUUGGACAAUGGGCGCAAGCCUGAUCCAGCCAUGCCGCGUGAGUGAUGAAGGCCUUCGGGUUGUAAAGCUCUUUAGCCGAUGAUUAUAAUGACUGUAGUCGGAAAAUAAGCCCCGGCUAACUUCGUGCCAGCAGCCGCGGUAAUACGAAUGGGGCGAGCGUUAUUCGGAAUCACUGGGCGUAAAGCGUGCGUAGGCGGCUUUGCAAGUUGGGAGUGAAAGCCCAGGGCUCAACCCUGGAAUUGCUCUCAAAACUGCAAGGGUCGAAUUCGGGAGAGGAUAGCGGAAUUGUCAGUGUAGCAGUGAAAUGCGUAGAUAUUGACAGGAACACCAGUGGCGUAAGCGGCUAUCUGGACCGAUAUUGACGCUGAGGCACGAAAGCGUGGGGAUCAAACAGGAUUAGAUACCCUGGUAGUCC